UCAUUCGGAUUCGCCAUCAUACGUCCAACCCUGCAUUUGAUAUGCAUAUAUAUGCAUCACGAGCCACGGUUGGGCUGUAUGAUGGCGAUACCGAUUGG
rfam:Triticum urartu cultivar G1812 contig1112597, whole genome shotgun sequence.